rnacentral:tRNA from 1 species
CAGGGAGACAACAACUGAUCUUGAUGUUUAAGUAAUUAAUCCUUAGACCAUGAUCCUGUCACCUUAGGUCGAUCGGUACCUCAAACUAGUUCAAAAAAUUCUGAAAUAUCAGAUCUUUUUUAUAACUGGUCUCAGUUCCUAAACUUGUCUAGGUCACACCCACAAGGGUACUCCUGGGCCAUUAGCUCAGGUGGUUAGAGCGCACCCCUGAUAAGGGUGAGGUCCCUGGUUCAAGUCCAGGAUGGCCCAUUCGAUGUUGGGGGUAUAGCUCAGUUGGUAGAGCGCCUGCUUUGCAAGCAGGAUGUCAGCGGUUCGAGUCCGCUUACCUCCACUGAUCGACCUCCUGACGGAGAAAUCCAAGGAGACAUUUUUGUUUAAUGUGAUUUAGACGUUGUUUUAUCUGAAUGAACCUAGCUUCUUGUCAUUCCAAACCUAACUUUUAGAACAGGUUGACAUGACGCUGGGCUCAACACAAUUAAUUUAAAUUGUGGAGAUGUUCAGUAGAACCUUGACAACUGCAUAGGUGAGUCUGGAAAGAAUAAAGCAUCUCAUGGAUGCAUUUUUUUCUGUAUGUUAAUUAUUUGCAUUAAAUUAUAAUGUUAAUAAUUUUUAAACAGAGAAUAAUGUUUUCAUUUCUUGAGUAAAAACCAAGACUCUAUUUUGUUUCAAAUAUAGAGAUAAAU